CGUAGGUAAUUUGCCUUUGGGUGGGGAAGUAAACUCAGGGAAACUUGAGCUAAUACCGCAUAAUGCAGCGGCAUUUAAGUAUGACAGUUGUUAAAGCGGAGGAUCGUAAGACUUCGCGCCUAAAGAGAAGCCUGCGGCAGAUUAGCUAGUUGGUAAGGUAAUGGCUUACCAAGGCGACGAUCUGUAACCGGUCUAAGAGGACGGUCGGUCACACUGACACUGAAUAACGGGUCAG
rnacentral:rRNA from 1 species